UCAGCUCGUGUCGUGAGAUGUUGGUUAAGUCCCGCAACGAGCGCAACCCCUACUGCCAGUUACUAACAGGUAACGCUGAGGGACUCUGGCGGAACUGCCGGUGACAAACCGGAGGAAGGUGGGGAUGACGUCAAGUCAUCAUGGCCCCUAUGUCCAGGGCUACACACGUGCUACAAUGGGCGAUACAGAGUGACGCGAAGCCGCGAGGUGGAGCAAAUCGCAGAAAAUCGCUCUCAGUUCGGAUUGGAGUCUGAAACCCGACUCCAUGAAGGUGGAAUCGCUAGUAAUCGCGCAUCAGCAUGGCGCGGUGAAUACGUUCCCGGGCCUU
rnacentral:rRNA from 1 species